AGGCCCGGGCGCCCUGGGAGCCCGCAGGGCCGCGCCCCGCGGCCGCUUCGCCCGCGCGCCUUCCAGCAGGGCAUCCUCCGGCGGGGACGCCCGGCACCCCGCGGCCCCGGGGGGGAGGAGGGCCGGCGGCUGGGGCGGGAGCGCAGGCGCAGGCCAGGCUCGGCCCGGGGCGGGCUCCGCGGGCGCCGAGACCACCGGGCGGGCAGCGGGCUGGGCCGUGACGCGGCCCUGGCCCCGGCCCCGGCCCCGGCCUCGCCCGCCACUUGGCCCCUGCGAACGGCAGCAGCGGGCCCGGCUCAGGGGGCGUCCCCGGGGGCCCCGCGGGGGUCACGAAGCUGUCAGAAGCCUAGUCAUGGACACCAGAGCAUGAAGCAAAAGAGAGAGGUGCACAACUCACCACUGUCAGAUUUCUUUACUGAGGCUUGGAAUGGCAUGCUGCCCAAGCUACUUGCACAAGCUACUAAGUGGCACUUGAAUUGGACCAGGUCUUCCUGACUUUCAGUGUGGGUGUGCAAACAUUACCUCAUGAUGUCUCAGAGGAGUGGUGCAGGAUCCCAGGAGACUGGCAGAACAGGUAUUAAUAUCCCUGCAUUUCCUGCUGGCCAUGCUCAGAGGCCCUGACAGGGUUACUCUUGGGCCAGAGCUGCGUGCGACCACCCCCCAAAGGGUGGGGCCUGCCGCCCUCAGACUUGCAGAGGAGGCUUCCCUGAGCUGAAUGGCUCCCAGGGUCUGGCUGGCAACACAUUCUUGCCCACAUCUCUCAGCUGCCUACUUCACGGGGAAGAGCACGGCCUUCCUUUCUCUGAAAAGUCAGCUGCCUGAGAAAUACCAAGGCACAAGAUACUACAGCAAGCCAGUGCUGGCCGGAAAGCAUGCUCCCCAACCACCAAAAUAAGGAGCCACACAUCAGCAGAUUAGCUGGUCCUGCCCACCCACCCAUGGCCAGCAGACAGUGCCUGUCACCAUCCGCAGGAACAUCCUGAUUUGUGUCCUCUCUGUCCUGCAUUUCCCAGGUCACCCCCACCACCCCAGGCCACCAGGCAGGGGAAAGGCACAUGCUGACCUCUGGUCAUGGGGAAACUGCCCCAUUCCAGCUGGUCAGGACCCAUCCCUCUCCAAGGGCCAACACAUCUGCCCCUCGCUAGGGGUCAGGAUCCCAAGCAUUUUAUUAGUGCCCUACAUGUCGCACCAAGCGGGUGCUCCACAGCCCGCCCUUCCACAGCCCAGCGAGGGGCCUCAGCCAAAAUGCCUCUCUGGUUGUGCAGCAGGAUAAACCCAGCCAGAGGAAGUGAACAGAAGUGCGGGCAUGGGAAGCUCCAGUUCCUGAGGGUCCAGGCCUCUCCAGAGGCUAGAGCUCCGCCACUAGGCACUGUGGCCAUUUUAAAGACACGAACUCUCUCCAAGAUCCUGUGCUGUGAAAGGCCCCCUGAAUCCGGGCCAGGAGAGCCAGAACUCAGGCCACCAGGUCUGCAGGCAGAGGCAGGGGGAUGCUUCUAGGCUGGGGCUGCAGACACAGUGGUGGAAGCGGGGGUGGGCCGCAGGUGAGGGCUGACAUGCUGUCCUCUCCUCCCUCGCCAUGGGGAGGGGUGGCACCUUUUGGCCCAGGUGCAUGGGCAGGCCUCUCUCCCUUCUCACCUCUCUGCCUCGGCACCAGCUUCCCCUGCACUGACUGGGAUGGGGAACCCUGGCCAUGGCCCCUCUGCACCAAAGCUGUCAGCCCAUGUGCAGCCACCCCACCUUCAGGCCUCACUACCCUCCCUGCACCUGAUUCUUCUGGCACAGAGCUCCAAGCCCCUCACUGCGGCCCCACCCCAGCCCAUCCCCUGUUGGUAGUGCCCCUUGACACAGAUAGCCCACCUGUCUGCUAGCACCCAGGUCUCAGUGACCAGGAGUGGAGGGCUGUGUGACCAGUCCCCUCACUGAAACACGCACAGAGCCUCCACUUUAAAGCUACGCUGGGCCCUGGAGGGAACAAGAAACAACAGUUAAGGGUCCUACUCCUCAGGACCUCGCGAUCCAGGGCAGGGGUCUUAGCCACUGGCAUAGGCUUUGCGGUCUCUGAAACUGGAAGCAGACGGUGCUUGCGCACAAGAGCAGGGAGUGUUUCAGCAGUGCUGAAUGCUUAGGAGGUUUCUGGCCUCAUAACGAGAGGAGUUCAGAACCACAAACCGGGGGGGCACCUGGCAGGCUGGGCUGUGUCCUAUUCAUGACUUAGCGUCUCAGCACAAGUCCUGGGAUAGAACAGGCUUGGCAUAUUCCAUGUGUUAGAAUGAAGGAACUGAACUUCCAAGUUCAAAUCAGCAUACCUGCCAGGGUGCAGGGGCUUUGGAUGCAGUCCUGGCCAGAGGGAGUUGCUGCCCUUCCAGGGGUGGUCAGGGCAGCACAGCUGCCCCAGAGAAAUGUGUCUUGUACACAGCCAACACAGCCCCACUCUGACCUCAGAGCCUGGCCUUCAGGGUGCGUCCCUGCCCAGCCCCCACCCCAGGUCUCCCUUCCCUUUGCGGGAAGUUCCUGUUCCCCACGCGGCCUCUCCCACACGGGUGCUCUCCACUCAGCCAGCAGGUUUGCCCAGAGGGGACCUGCCACACACACCUGCCCAGAGAUCUCUCCGUGCAGUGGCUCAGCUCCUGCUGGCUCCUUAGAUUGGCUGGGAGAGGACCUGAGGGGAGGGUGAGGGCCACACAGACAGAGGCUGGCCUGGGGAGGCGGGGCAGGGGUGGGGCACGCUGUCCUUUGGGGGCCACCUUCCCCAGCAGCCCCCAUGCUUACUCACUCCCUUCCCGCUGACACUGGCAGCUGCACCUUCUCAAGCCAGCAUGUUCCCCAGCAAACUCUCACCCGACACCUUGCAAACCCCAGCACCCACAGAGAGAGCAGCUGGGCAGGCCCAGGAGAGGACCGAGUAGCUGACAGCUGCUACCUUGGGUGAGCCCUGGAGGGCCCGCAGGGCUGAACACUCAGGUCUCCAGGCCGGGUAUCAAGCAGACGUGAGCACAUCAGCUCUCGCACUCUCACAAGCAGCCCACAGAGUGGUUAUUGCCCCCAUUUUACAAAUAGAGGAAACUGAGGAUUCGGGUGAUGGAGUCACACAGAUUCAGUUAAGAUCUUGUGUCCCCAGGGCCACCGUGGUGACGGAAGCCUUUGUCUCAAAGCCUCCCUCCAGUCAGCUGUGAGGUCUCCUGUAUCUCUCUGUGGCUGCCACCGGCUGAGGCAUUCCUACUCCGGGUGACAGGCAGAUGUUCAGGGCCAGAGGCAGGGUCCUAGCUACCUGUGGCCAGGUCUGGCUCCAGUGCUGAGCAGCAUAUGGACAAGCUGCAGUGUUGGGAGGGGAGGGGACCACCUCUUCUGGAGGGUGAGCUAGCUGGGGGGGAGAGAGAGGGGGUGGGAACAGAGCACCAACCACUGGACUCACAGGUCAGUAGCUGAUACAGGGCUCCCAGCCGUGGUACACAGCAGAACCACCCAGGGCUUUUCCCAAAUGCCUGCCUGGACCCCCCUGGAGAGUUAAGUGACUGCACCCAGGUGGGCUUUGGCAUGUAUUUGUGGGUAAAGUUCUCAGAGGUUUGCAAAUGCACCCUACUCAUUUCCGAAGAGCAAGAAAGACAACAGCAGCCAGGACGUGCAGGAGCUGGCCUCUGUCACAGCUGGGCCCUGGCAUCCUCCAUGUGGGACAUAAGCAACAGCACAGGGUAUCACCAUCAGGCAAGGCCACUCUGGGACGGCAACAGAGCAAGCCAAGAACAAGCUCUCUCCGCGUUCACGGCUGGGCACGCACAGAACACGCACGCCGUCCCGGCCACCCAGACCCAACAGCCCUCCUGGCUACUCCGAGGGUGCUGCUACUUUCCAGUUCCAGCUUCAGCCGCAGACUAGCGGCCCCUCCUCCCGGGUCAGAGUUCUCAGGCCUCGCCCUGCUUCCUCACCACAUCGCCUGGGAAGCACAGCCCUGCCCCUGCCCGGGCCCACCUGACAGCAAGUCCUCUGCAACCCCGUCCCGCAGGCCGAGGGACCCGUUUCACACUCCCAGGACCCCACCCCUGAGGGCACUGCCUCUCGGGGGAUCAGGCGCCCCAGGCUGGACGGGUUCCCAGGCCUACGCCUCUUAGAGCACCAGCCAGAAAUGACACCCCGGGUGACGGACACACAGACGUGGUGAUCCUAAGGACACCUUGUGCUGAGCGCUCACCCAAAGGAAGCCAGAAUCACCGUGUCUCUGUGCCAGACCGCCUGCUGCCUGUGGCCACCACAGCCCCUGCCUGAGGCCCCCAGGAAGGGGCUUUGUUCACAGUGGGAGGAGCACCCUGAGAGGCUCCCUCAGGGAGCGCGGUGGCACCACAGAGGCCUGACUGACAGGUGGCAACCUGCACAGGCUGCAGGGCCACUGGACCGUCUCUGACACAAGUACACGGAGAAACUCCCCACGGUGCUGACAGCGGCCCUCCCCACUACUUCGUAUGCCCUCGUCACCCCCUCCUGCACCUGCCCUCCCCUAGCCCCCACCCCAUCCCUGGACACCCCUGCCGGGAUUUCUGCGCUACAGCUUCAGGGCACCCCUAGAAGUCCGGGUCAGCCACCGCACCACACAGCGGGCCCCUGCUCCUGCUCAGCCCGGCUCUCUGCAGCCCAGCCCCGGAGGCUGUGUGCACCACCGCUGCUGGGCCGUAGCAGGGCUGGGCCUGGAGCCCUGAUCAGCGGCUUCCUGUCUUCCUCCACCUCCACACGGAGGAGAACCGCCACCGGGACGCGCCUCUGCACUGGCGGUGCCUCCCUCCUGGCCACUUCCCAUGUCCCUGCUCUGCUGCUGAGAGCAUGCUUGGCCCUGCAUCAUGAGCCCUUGAGAGCCCAGCACCAGGGCAGGUUCCACCCGACUCCUCCGGCUGUGAGGAACAUGUGUUUGGGGUGUUUGGGGGAAGAGAGAAAUAGACACUGGGGGUGGGAAGAAAGCUCUGAGGAGACAGCGAACAGAUGCCAGGUGCCCCUCUGUGAGGGCUGACACACGGGGUCCCCAUGUUCUCAUGACCUAUCUGACUCGUGCCACCCGAGAGCAUGGGGCUCAAGUGAGGGGGUGUCUCCCACCAUGCAACGCAGAGAGCUGGUCCACACCGCGGCUCCCAAGCCACCAGCACGCAAAGGGACAGGCGCCCCACAGGGGUGGCUUCCAGACCCAGGCCUCCUUGAUGCUCACUUUCCAUGCUCAGGGGCAAAGGCUGUGCCAGAGGGACUGGUCAGCACCUGUUACAGCAGGGUGGGAGGGCUGCAGGCUCCACGUGCUCCAGCCUUGGCUUCUCCUCCGUCCAGGCUGGCCUAGGAGUGGCCCUGUUCCGAGGGACGGUGCAGCAGCUCCAGGUCUGCAGCUCAGCGACCCUCAGAUAGGGUGCCUGCAAGACGAUGCCUGUGUCCCAGCCCCAAAUCCCAACCCACCCGGUCUGGGCGUAUCUGGGAUGUGACUUGCAGCUGCAGCUGAGGAGUGCCACAGCCUCGGGUCACCAGUGGCCCGGGGCCUGUCUGCCCUGGCCUGUGGUCCCCGGGGAAGCAGGCCGUUCACCUCUUGCUGUGCUUCGUGGUUCUCCUGUCAUUGAUUUAACCAGACGCCAGCGAGCACGGCCCCAUCCAGGUUCCUGUCGGCAAGGUGCUCUCCGGCCCCAACAAGGCAGGAGGCAGGCAAGGGGUGGGCAAAGGGGAGCCCCACAUGCUGGGACAGCCCCUCAGCUCUCCCUGCCCUCCCCUCAUCUCAGGCCACCACCACAGAGAUGGAGCACACAGAUAGGAAGUGAGCCCUCUAACUGCUUCUUCUGCCCUGCUUUCUGUCUGUGCUGACUGGAGCACUAUAUAUGGCUGAAUUUUAAAUUACAUAAUAUAUGAUACACAAAAGGAAAAAUAGGUUUAUGUAUGUUAUGAAAUAAUAAUAUAAUGAACAUCUGCACAUCUAUCUCCCAAUAUUAAAUGUGGCUGUUUUUGAGGUACUACAGUCAUUAAUUAUUAAGUGCCACAGAAGCUGUGUUUGCACCUGGUGGGGGGUUUUCAUGUGCACAUGGAAUGUGAAAGGCUCAUUUUUGUGUCAUUGUUUGUGGUCUGUCACAUGUGAGAAUAAGGAAGAAAAGCUGUGACUGAAGGAAGCUGAGCUGCAAAGGCAGCAUGGGGAAGGGGUCUAAGCAAACAGAAGAGGCAAUCAGGGAAGACUUCCUGGAAGAGGUGACGAAGGAGAAAUGGGGCAACCUAGAAGAGGCUGGUACGGUGGGGAGACAUCCCAAGACAGGGCAGCCUGUGAGUGUGGGGUCCCCCACCCAUCACCUGUGAUACAUGAGUCACCAGACAGGGGGCCACAAGGCCUCGCAGACACCCCCCAGCAGGCUCAGACUGGUUACCCCAGGAGGGGCCAGGGGUCAGGCUUGGGGUCAGAACAGGCAUUCUGAAUACCAUUUCAGAACAACAGAGUAUCAUUUAAGCCUCACAGUCUUGAACUGGCAAGGGACACACUGCCCAUUUCAUGACCGGGAAACCUCCAGGAAACUGAGCAGUCAGAGCUCAUCCCGGGAGCCAGAAGCCAGCACGCAGGACAUGGCCCGGUCCUGCCACAGCGUUCAGGCCAGCAGACCAUGACGUCCCACGGGCCAGGAGCAAACUCAAUAGCUCCUGGAGUUGUAAAUGGCCGCUGCAGUCUCUGGUGGGCCCAGAACAAGCUGACCCUGCAGCAGGCAGCAGGAACCGCUUCCACUGGCCCAAGCGGAAAGGGCGGACAGGCGCCCGGAGCGGAGGGAGUCUGGGCAGCAGGGCUGAGCUUGGCCCCAUCUGGAGAGGGUGGUAGUGUCCACGUCUCUAGGACCACCACCCUGGCCAGCCUGCCCAGGUCCUCCAGAUGGAGGGGGCCCUGGGGCUUUGACGCAGCCAGCAUCCUCCUGCUGGUUAAUUCACUCGCCGGUUCAACAAGUGAUUCCCACGACACACUGCGCUCCAAGCCCCGGCUGGAGCCUGCAACCUGGAGCAAGGGAACCGGACUCAAGGUAUGGGUGUGCGGAAUGGCUGGAUAGGGGCAACCUGGCCAAGGUCACGGCUGCUCCUUCGGUUGGCAGAGGGCACAGAGUGAGAGUCUGGGGCAAAAGCACAGGUGGGGACCAUGUCCCAGGGCCUCUCCCUGUGGCCACAGGUGAGGCCUCUGAAAGGCAGUGUGGGAGAGAAGGCCCCUCAUGGGGAGGAAGCACCAGGCCUCGGACCUCUGAGGAGCAAUAUGCCCAGUGUGGUGCAGUCCAGGGUGGCAGGGAGCCAGUGGCCCUGAGGGCACCGAGGGCUCCUGGCAGGUGGCUAAUCCCCAUGCCUGGUCUCUUCUGCCCACGCUGCACUCUCUGCUUUGUUGUGCAGAGGGGACCCAACUCUUUAGGACUCAUGGAAUCAGUCUCUCCAUGAAGUCUCACAGGCAGGGUCUCUGUGGCCUCGGGUGCCUGCUGUGACCUUUGCCCAGAAGAGCUGGAACAUGCAGGCAAUCCCCUUGCAAAUGCUCCCAGGGCCCUGAGGUUUACACCCCACCCCAAAGCUGAGAAGCUGAGUGAGUCCUGGGGGAACUUAACUACAUGCUAUGGGGGUCGUUUGCUCCUUUCCUGCCAGCAUCCGAGCAGCAGUUCUGCUUACGGGGGCGAGAUCCUAAGAUAAUUUAGAAACUGGGCCCCACCCACCCUGGAAGUUGAGGGGGGCUGAUAUCCUCCCUUCCCACCCUCUAGAGGGCAGCUCAGCUAAGCUCCUGAGGACCCGCGUCUAUAAGGGGGAGCUGGAGUGUUCUCUGUGAGCAGCCCGAGCUAUGUCAUGGGUGCACCUACUGUUACUCUCCUCUCCUCAUCUCUGCCAGAGCCGGGUCCCAGGAGCUACCCCACACCCUGCCAAGACAGGUACUUCUUUCCACUUGACUGGAGUCCAUUUCUGACUUUUGCAACUAAGAGCCUUCACUAAAGUGGUAUCAGGAUGAUUACAGGCAACAGACCUUCAGGAAAGGAUGCGGGGUAUGCCCGGGAUUGGUUAUUCCACCUGGCUGAGGCCAAACGCAGUGAGAAUCUAUUGGGAAUUCAGUUACGGAGCUCCACCAUCUCAUUGCUGGCAUGGCAAGCCCCUGGUUGAAGCGGCUAUGGCCAGGUGUCUACUAGGGGCUUUGAGGAGAAAAGGGACUCUCGCUACAAAACCUGAAAGGCAUGAAGAAUUCAAGUACUGUGGGGAAAUGCUGUUGCCUCUAACUGCCCUGGCCAGCUUAAAGGGGGAACCACAAGCUCAGACCUCCGAGCCCCCAGGGACUCCCUGUGGCUGUGCACACAUGAUCUCUCCUUCCUGCCUCACAUAUCGCCGAGGAGCGGUCCAAUCCCGUCACUCUGUGGUGAACUGUAAAGCUAGCUGAAUGGACUGCCUCCCGGCUCCUCAAAUGGAAGAGCCCUGUUAGGGAAGAGUGGGAUCCCUGGCCUUAGGAAUGGGGAUCGCCAGGGGAGUCACCAACCCACUGUUAUCACCCUGUCAGUAAGGGAGGCAGUUCUCCUCAGGCCCAACCCUUGAUGCCUCCACCGCCUCCAGAACAGAAAGUAGAAUCAGACCUCAGCACAGCCAUGGGAACCAUUACAAAGUCAGACUAUGGAAGGAAGGGCUCUCUUUCAGAAAUAUGACUCUGCCAAUACGCACUGGCAAAUCCCAGGGAAAACAGGUGGGAAUGGAUUCUGAGGGGAUCUGACCAAGGAGGAAAGAGCUUCAUACUGGCUCAGGAUGAAUGUGCAGCCGUGGGCGCCCACUCAUUCUCAAGUCGGUGUGCAUGCUCCAGCAGUCAGGACAUAUUCCAGAAGGUGGGCUGCUGACUGACUAAAACCUCAGCCUGAUAUUGGCGCCCCCAUGAAAUGAAACUGAAAAGCCAGAAAUUCCUUAAAGGAAUCCAAAUAUCAGAAGCAACAGUGCUGGAAUGGAUUUAUCAAAAGCAACCUGCUCACCACCUCGUAUGUUCCCCCAAGUCAAAAAGACAUGCCCUACCCCAUGGCACAAGGAAUACUUUGGCAAAAAGACUGUCAACAUCUUGGAGAGCUGCUAUGAAGCUGGUGAUGCUGAGGAGCGAUGCCACCUUCAGGGAGAAUUCCACAGGCAGGGGUGGCAGGAGCUGGCAGGGCAAAGGAGAGCAGCAGCGUGGAGUACCAGAAGCCAAAGUGGCACCAGAGCAUCCCGAUGCCAGGGCUCUCUGGCACUGACCAAUCAAAUCAGGGGCUGCCAGGACCGAAAUGGAUGGGCGUCACCAACCAGGUCCUAUUGAACUGUGUAAUAUUUUUAAAAAUGUAAAAAAAUUUUAACUAUGUCUGAUAGAAGGCUCCAUGAGUGCCCAGAACAGUGUCUGGUCA